rnacentral:rRNA from 1 species
GUCAACGGCCAUGCUACCCUGAACAAGCCUGAUCCUAUCUGAUCUUGGAAGCUAACUAAGCAGGGGCGGACCUGGUUAGUACUUGGAUGGGCGACCACCUAGGAAGACCAGGUGCUGUAGGCG